rnacentral:rRNA from 1 species
GAGUUUGAUCGUGGCUCAGAUUGAACGCUGGCGGCAGGCCUAACACAUGCAAGUCGAGCGGAUGACGGGAGCUUGCUCCUUGAUUCAGCGGCGGACGGGUGAGUAAUGCCUGGGAAUCUGCCUGGUAGUGGGGGACAACGUUUCGAAAGGAACGCUAAUACCGCAUACGUCCUACGGGAGAAAGCAGGGGACCUUCGGGCCUUGCGCUAUCAGAUGAGCCUAGGUCGGAUUAGCUAGUUGGUGGGGUAAUGGCUCACCAAGGCGACGAUCCGUAACUGGUCUGAGAGGAUGAUCAGUCACACUGGAACUGAGACACGGUCCAGACUCCUACGGGAGGCAGCAGUGGGGGAAUAUUGGACAAUGGGCGAAAGCCUGAUCCAGCCAUGCCGCGUGUGUGAAGAAGGUCUUCGGAUUGUAAAGCACUUUAAGUUGGGAGGAAGGGCAGUAAGUUAAUACCUUGCUGUUUUGACGUUACCGACAGAAUAAGCA